rnacentral:lncRNA from 1 species
UACAAGGUAGCCAUUUGGCGUUGGGAGGUAUGGAUGUUCCCAUCCCUAAUUUGCAAAAUAGGUAACUGAGGCUCAGGAGAGCUAGACUAGUUUGUGCACAGCCGAGAAGUGGUCAAGCUAGAAUGGGACCCCAGGUUUGUGCUCCCUACUCUCCACCGAUAACCUAUCAAAGGGCUUUGCAAGAGCUUUUGACUAAUCGCCUCUCAGUGGUUCUCAUUCACUUAAUUGCACAUCAGUAUGUGCCAAAUCUACUAGACAUUGGAGAAACAGUAGGAACAACACCUGGUAGCGGCACAUGGAUCUUUCAGGAAAAUGAAGUAGGUAAUAAACAGGAAAAAGCCCGAAUCUGAUGCUAAGAAGAACAUAAACAGGAUGCUGAGAGAUUGGGUCUCUCCACAUUGCCUAGGCUGCUCUCCAACUUCUGAGCUCAAGUGAUCCACCUCCCUUGGCCUCCCAAAGUACUAGGAUUACAGGCGUGAGCCACCGUGCCUGGCUGAGAAGAUGGAUUUAAGACAUGUUUUGGAGUAAAAUUUAAGUGUGGCUCUGUGCCUAUGCUCUCCCCGGCGGAAAGUGAGCAGAAGAGGUGUGCAGUUUCCAGGCCUGGCCCAUACAGACCUCCAACAGGUGUUCCCCUGUGCUCUUACUCCUUCUGCCAACU